GACGGGGGGGGCAAGUGUUCUUCGGAAUGACUGGGCGUCAAGGGCACGUAGGCGGUGAAUCGGGUUGAAAGUGAAAGUCGCCAAAAAGUGGCGGAAUGCUCUCGAGACCAAUUCACUUGAGUGGGACAGAGGAGAGUGGAAUUUCGUGUGUAGGGGUGAAAUCCGUAGAUCUACGAAGGAAGGCCAAAAGCGAAGGCAGCUCUCUGGGUCCCUACCGACGCUGGGGUGCGAAAGCAUGGGGAGCGAACAGG
rnacentral:rRNA from 1 species